CCCGCUGCCAGGAGUGUUGGCUGCGGGCAGCUCAGGGCUCAGUCCCCUUAGGGAAUUCUCAAAGGGAGCUGCUUUGCCCAAGGUAUGGUAAAACACACAGACACAGAAAUGACUGCCAUGAAGGAAGAAGGUUUUAUCCCCACGGGUCCCUACAAACAGGAGGUGCCGCCUGCCAUGCAGGGCCACGCCAGGAAGUACCGGGGUUGGUCGGGAGGAGAAACCUGGGCGAGAGCCUUUAUUGGAAAUACAAGGCAAAGCAAGCCAAACCUCUUAGAAGAGCAACCUACACUCACCGCCU